AGUGUGACCCAGCCAUGCCGCGUGCAGGAUGACGGCCCUAUGGGUUGUAAACUGCUUUUCCACGGGAAGAACCCUCCGACGUGUCGGAGACUGACGGUACCGUGGGAAUAAGCAUCGGCUAACUCCGUGCCAGCAGCCGCGGUAACACGGAGGAUGCAAGCGUUAUCCGGAUUUAUUGGGUUUAAAGGGUGCGCAGGCGGAUUAUAAAUUAGCGGGAAUCCCCCGGUCAACCAGGGAAUGGCCGUAGAUACUGUUAAUCUGGAGUGCAGUUGAGGUAGGCGGAAUUCGCAUGUAGCGGUGAAAUGCAUAGAUAU
rnacentral:rRNA from 1 species